rnacentral:rRNA from 1 species
UACGAAGGGGGCUAGCGUUGCUCGGAAUCACUGGGCGUAAAGGGUGCGUAGGCGGGUCUUUAAGUCAGGGGUGAAAUCCUGGAGCUCAACUCCAGAACUGCCUUUGAUACUGAGGAUCUUGAGUUCGGGAGAGUGAGUGGAACUGCGAGUGUAGAGGUGAAAUUCGUAGAUAUUCGCAAGAACACCAGUGGCGAAGGCGGCGUCCUGGACCAAUACUGACACUGAGUGAGCGAAAGCCAGGGGAGCAAACGGG